rnacentral:rRNA from 1 species
UUGAACGCUGGCGGCAUGCCUUACACAUGCAAGUCGAACGGUAACAGGGAGCUUGCUCCGCUGACGAGUGGCGAACGGGUGAGUAAUGUAUCGGAACGUACCAUUGAGUGGGGGAUAACGUAGCGAAAGUUACGCUAAUACCGCAUAUUCUCUCCGGAGGAAAGCAGGGGACCGCAAGGCCUUGCGCUCUUUGAGCGGCCGAUAUCAGAUUAGCUAGUUGGUGGGGUAAAAGCUCACCAAGGCGACGAUCUGUAGCGGGUCUGAGAGGAUGAUCCGCCACACUGGAACUGAGACACGGUCCAGACUCCUACGGGAGGCAGCAGUGGGGAAUUUUGGACAAGGGGGGCAACCCUGAUCCAGCCAUUCCGCGUGAGUGAAGAAGGCCUUCGGGUUGUAAAGCUCUUUCAGCAGGAGCGAAACGGUCGUUUUUAAUACAGACGGCUAAUGACGGUACCUGCAGAAGAAGCACCGGCUAACUACGU